AACUAGCUUCAGAUGCAUCGGUGCAACUUAGAGUGCCUCGAUGCCAUUCGACUCCUAAGCAGAAGUUAAAUAUUUGAGCUGUGUCUUAGGUCUGUUGCCAUGCACAUUUCUACACUUGUAGCAACAGUGUUCAUGUGUACUCUUCCCCCUACUCCUCCUGAAUACUGUGGAGGUAGUCCUCUCAAAUGUUUGUGUUAGAAUCUGAAUCUGUAGCUUAAGGUGGCUCCUUGUCAUUCCAAGUAUAUAUCAUUAGAGAUUUAAUGUGAAACAAUGUAAAGAUUCAGGUGA